AAAUUUAUAUAAAUAUUCCAAAACACACAGUAGGCUUAGUCAUUCGUCGAUUGUUUCUCGACCUAUACGCUAUUAUCAUAAACAUGAAAUCCAUCUACGUUUGUGUGCUAAUUUUGGUUUUCGUGGCGUUCUUGGGUAUAAUUGUCAAUGUCUGAUGAACCAACAUUAGUCGGAGGUAACCGUUGUACAUGGGGCCCUAGUUACUGGUGUAAAAAUGCAGAAACUGCAAAAGAAUGUAGCAUAACCGCUGAGCACUGCGCGGAACGAUAUGGUGGAUUUAAGGAACAGUAAGCCAGUACUUGGGAGCAUCAAACUUGUGUUAUGAUUAAAAUUCAGUUUUUUAAAUAAAAACAAUGUAAAA